rnacentral:misc_RNA from 1 species
GAUGAAGAACGUAGCGAAAUGCGAUACGUAAUGUGAAUUGCAGAAUUCAGUGAAUCAUCGAGUCUUUGAACGCACAUUGCGCCCCCUGGUAUUCCGGGGGGCAUGCCUGUUCGAGCGUCAUUUCACCACUCAAGCCUCGCUUGGUAUUGGGCAACGCGGUCCGCCGCGUGCCUCAAAUCGACCGGCUGGGUCUUCUGUCCCCUAAGCGUUGUGGAAACUAUUCGCUAAAGGGUGUUCGGGAGGCUACGCCGUAAAACAACCCCAUUUCUAAGGUUGACCUCGGAUCAGGUAGGGAUACCCGCUGAACUGAAGCAUAUCAAUAAGCGGAGGA